AGCGGCGGACGGGUGAGUAACGCGUGGGUAACCGUGCCUCAUACAGGGGGAUAACAGUUGGAAACGGCUGCUAAUACCGCAUAAGCGCACAGUACCGCAUGGUACGGUGUGAAAAACUCCGGUGGUAUGAGAUGGACCCGCGUCUGAUUAGGUAGUUGGUGGGGUAACGGCCUACCAAGCCGACGAUCAAUAGCCGACCUGAGAGGGUGACCGGCCACAUUGGGACUGAGACACGGCCCAG
rnacentral:rRNA from 1 species